GGAGGAUGAAACAUGCAGGAAUGAGGGGGAGACUGGAGCUGAAAUGCACUGUUGAAGAAAAGAAUAUCAAAUUCAAAUACCAACAUAAAGGCUGAAAACCUGACCCCAGAAAGAUCAGGAAAUUCAAAAUAUGCGACUGGAGAUAUC